GCUUGCUAAAUGGACUCAUGGCGGACGGGUGAGUAACGCGUAAAGAACUUGCCCUUUAGACUGGGAUAACAGAGGGAAACUUCUGAUAAUACUGGAUAAGUUAGUAUAUCGCAUGAUAUGCAAAUGAAAGCUACGGCACUAAAGGAGAGCUUUGCGUCCUAUUAGCUAGUUGGUAAGGUAAGAGCUUACCAAGGCGAUGAUAGGUAGCCGGCCUGAGAGGGUGGACGGCCACAAGGGGACUGAGAUACGGCCCUUACUCCUACGGGAGGCAGCAGUGGGGAAUAUUGGACAAUGGAGGGAACUCUGAUCCAGCAAUUCUGUGUGUGUGAAGAAGGUUUUAGGACUGUAAAACACUUUUAGUAGGGAAGAAAAAAAUGACGGUACCUACAGAAGAAGCAACGGCUAAAUACGUGCCAGCAGCCGCGGUAAUACGUAUGUUGCGAGCGUUAUCCGGAAUUAUUGGGCUUAAAGGGCAUCUAGGCGGUAAGACAAGUUGAAGGUGAAAACCUGUGGCUCAACCAUAGGCUUGCCUACAAAACUGUUGAACUAGAGUACUGGAAAGGUGGGUGGAACUACACGAGUAGAGGUGAAAUUCGUAGAUAUGUGUAGGAAUGCCGAUGAUGAAGAUAACUCACUGGACAGAAACUGACGCUGAAGUGCGAAAGCUAGGGGAGCAAACAGGAUUAGAUACCCUGGUAGUCCUAGCUGUAAACGAUGAUCACUGGGUGUGGGGAUGCGAAGUCUCUGUGCCGAAGCAAAAGCGAUAAGUGAUCCGCCUGGGGAGUACGUUCGCAAGAAUGAAACUCANAGGAAUUGACGGGGGCCCGCACAAGUGGU
rnacentral:rRNA from 1 species